UUACUCCAUUCAUUGUAGAGGCUCUAGUUUGUGCACAGGAUUGGCUUAGGAGAGCAACUCCUAUUGACAUCAAAGAGAAUAUGGAGGAAUUAGAAAUGAUGGAAAAAGAGUUAAUAGAAGAAUUUGGUAACCAUAAAGCCCAGAAUAUUGGCAAAGGAAAAGGGAAAGAAAAAGAGGCUUCCACUGC